GACGAACGCUGGCGGCGUGCCUAAUACAUGCAAGUAGAACGCUGAAGAGAGGAGCUUACUCUUCUUGGAUGAGUUGCGAACGGGUGAGUAACGCGUAGGUAACCUGCCUUGUAGCGGGGGAUAGCUAUUGGAAACGAUAGCUAAUACCGCAUAACAAUGGAUGACACAUGUCAUUUAUUUGAAAGGGGCAAUUGCUCCACUACAAGAUGGACCUGCGUUGUAUUAGCUAGUAGGUGAGGUAAUGGCUCACCUAGGCGACGAUACAUAGCCGACCUGAGAGGGUGAUCGGCCACACUGGGACUGAGACACGGCCCAGACUCCUACGGGAGGCAGCAGUAGGGAAUCUUCGGCAGUGGGGGCAACCCUGACCGAGCAACGCCGCGUGAGUGAAGAAGGUUUUCGGAUCGUAAAGCUCUGUUGUAAGUCAAGAACGGGUGUGAGAGUGGAAAGUUCACACUGUGACGGUAGCUUACCAGAAAGGGACGGCUAACUACGUG
rnacentral:rRNA from 1 species